rnacentral:lncRNA from 1 species
AUGGGUGCAAAGAUUUGAUGUCAAUCACAUAACACGAAUACAAACAACAACAAAAUACCUUGGGUUGCCUCCCAAGAAGCGCCUAAUUUAGUGUCGCGGCACGACUCAGUUAUCUUGACUACUCAAACUUCGUCAAGAUACCUUGUUAAUAAUUAUUUAUGUCUCCACUUAGAGGAUUUGAAAUAUCGGCCCAACUUUUGAUCAAUACAUAUUUGGGGUGUGUUGGUCA